rnacentral:lncRNA from 1 species
CAGCGGGCACCCGGCGGAGCCCGGGGCGGGCAGGGCGAGGCUACGGGGCGGGCACCGCCUCCCGACCCAGCCCGGCCCGGCCCAGGUACCACAACUGGAGGUACUGCCUGUCGUGGAGCUGGGGGCAUCUGCUGCAGCAAGAAGUCUGGAGCCGUGAAGACCUUGUCGGAGAGGGUCACGGAUUGCUUGCCCUUGCCAAACUAAACAAGGAUAUCUCUCCCUCUGGAUUUGUAUUUUCUCCAUUAAACUUAACAAAGUGAAUAAUAAGAAAGAAACUAGACCCAUAAUGUGAAGAGCACAAAGGCACUGCGACCUUGUUCGCUUUUAGCAUUCAUCUUGUUUCUGGAGUUGAGAUACCCAAGCCUGUUUGAGGCACAAGAACCUCUUUUCGGUUUGGGGUGUGUUACAGGCACUUUUGAAACCCUCAGACAUCAUUGUACUGGCAGAGGCAUCAAAAAUAUAUGAAAAAGUGAAACUUACUUUCUAAAAACAAAUCUUUUUAUCUAACUGAAGCACAAGUGAGGCAGAGCGACUUUCUGAUUUUACCUAUGAUUACAUACACCCAUAGCAACAGGGCCUGCAGACUUAAAAUCUUUUUACAGUUACCCUUUCCCAGCAUCCCAGGGAUGUACCCAGAUGCUGCUAGAACUUUUCAGCAGACAGGGAGUUUGCUGCAGGGGCCCUGACAAGUGCUGGAUCAACAGUCAUGUCAAAACUAUAAAGCUGUGUGUGAACUGUCAGAAGAGAAGCCUGGUUUCUUUUCUGGAUCCUGGAUUGGCAGAAUUAUUGUCUUGACUUGAAGAGUGCCUGGAGAUACCUCAGGGGCCUUGCACAGUACCUCCUCAGUAAAAGCUUAUGGUCUAUUGUGCAAGAGGGACAAAUGUGGGCAGGAGAAUGGAGACAUCACUUGUCCUGGGCUACACGAUAUGCUACCCAUUCAUGCCAACUGUUCAUUUAAAUUCAUCACAACACAAGAAAGCUUACUGCAACAGAGGACAUGCAUUUGAUUGGGAGCCUUCUGUACAACAAACAGAGACAAGGAGAACUGAAAGUGCAAUGGAAGAAUCUGGAGUCAGACGAACCACAGUUAUGAUAGAUAGACACGCAGAGGGUUCUUGUUCAUGGCCAUUUACUCAGACAGUGAUGGAGCUGGGAACUGGAUCCAUAUGUCUUGGCUGCCAGUCUUGCGUUCACUUGGUCAUCUAUCACUGGUCUCCCUUUGUCAUAGUUUAUUUCCCUGACAUAUGCUUCUCAUGA